rnacentral:rRNA from 1 species
CCUACGGGAGGCAGCAGUGAGGAAUAUUGGUCAAUGGACGCAAGUCUGAACCAGCCAUGCCGCGUGCAGGAAGACGGCUCUAUGAGUUGUAAACCGCUUUUGUACGAGGGAAAACGCAGAUACCCGUAUCUUUCUGAAAGUAUCGUACGACUAAGGAUCGGCUAACUCCGUGCCAGCAGCCGCGGUAAUACGGAGGCUUCAAGCGUUAUACGGAUGUAUUGUGUUUAAAGGGUGCGUAGGCGGUCGGAUAAGUUAGAGGUGAAAUCCCGAGGCUCAACUUCGGAAUUGCCUCUGAUACUGUUCGGCUAGAGAGUAGUUGCGGUAGGCGGAAUGUAUGGUGUAGCGGUGAAAUGCUUAGAGAUCAUACAGAACACCGAUUGCGAAGGCAGCUUACCAAGCUACUUCUGACGUUGAGGCACGAAAGCGUGGGGAGCAAACAGGAUUAGAUACCCGUGUAGUC